rnacentral:rRNA from 1 species
GACGAACGCUGGCGGCGUGCUUAACACAUGCAAGUCGAGCGGUAAGGCCCCUUCGGGGGUACACGAGCGGCGAACGGGUGAGUAACACGUGGGUGAUCUGCCUCGCACUCUGGGAUAAGCCUGGGAAACUGGGUCUAAUACCGGAUAUGACCACUGGUCGCAUGGUUGGUGGUGGAAAGAUUUAUCGGUGCGAGAUGAGCCCGCGGCCUAUCAGCUUGUUGGUGGGGUAAUGGCCUACCAAGGCGACGACGGGUAGCCGGCCUGAGAGGGCGACCGGCCACACUGGGACUGAGACACGGCCCAGACUCCUACGGGAGGCAGCAGUGGGGAAUAUUGCACAAUGGGCGAAAGCCUGAUGCAGCGACGCCGCGUGAGGGAUGACGGCCUUCGGGUUGUAAACCUCUUUCGACAGGGACGAAGCGCAAGUGACGGUACCUGUAGAAGAAGCACCGGCCAACUACGUG